rnacentral:tRNA from 1 species
GGGUGCUAGUGGUAAAAGACAGCACUCUUGAUGCUGAGGUCAUGGGUUCAAAUCCCACCAGACACA